rnacentral:rRNA from 1 species
CACGUAGGGUGCGAGCGUUGUUCGGAAUUAUUGGGCGUAAAGAGCUCGUAGGCGGUGUGUCGCGUCGGCCGUGAAAACCUGCAGCUUAACUGUGGGCUUGCGGUCGAUACGGGCAUCACUGGAGUUCGGCAGGGGAGACUGGAAUUCCUGGUGAUAGCGGUGAAAUGCGCAGAUAUCAGGAGGAACACCGAUGGCGAAGGCAGUGUUCUGGGCCAGUACUGACGCUGGAGGAGCGGAAAAGCAUGGGGAGCGAACAGG